rnacentral:rRNA from 1 species
CGUGCCUAAUACAUGCAAGUCGAGCGAACGGACGAGAAGCUUGCUUCUCUGAUGUUAGCGGCGGACGGGUGAGUAACACGUGGAUAACCUACCUAUAAGACUGGGAUAACUUCGGGAAACCGGAGCUAAUACCGGAUAAUAUUUUGAACCGCAUGGUUCAAAAGUGAAAGACGGUCUUGCUGUCACUUAUAGAUGGAUCCGCGCUGCAUUAGCUAGUUGGUAAGGUAACGGCUUACCAAGGCAACGAUGCAUAGCCGACCUGAGAGGGUGAUCGGCCACACUGGAACUGAGACACGGUCCAGACUCCUACGGGAGGCAGCAGUAGGGAAUCUUCCGCAAUGGGCGAAAGCCUGACGGAGCAACGCCGCGUGAGUGAUGAAGGUCUUCGGAUCGUAAAACUCUGUUAUUAGGGAAGAACAUAUGUGUAAGUAACUGUGCACAUCUUGACGGUACCUAAUCAGAAAGCCACGGCUAACUACGUGCCAGCAGCCGCGGUAAUACGUAGGUGGCAAGCGUUAUCCGGAAUUAUUGGGCGUAAAGCGCGCGUAGGCGGUUUUUUAAGUCUGAUGUGAAAGCCCACGGCUCAACCGUGGAGGGUCAUUGGAAACUGGAAAACUUGAGUGCAGAAGAGGAAAGUGGAAUUCCAUGUGUAGCGGUGAAAUGCGCAGAGAUAUGGAGGAACACCAGUGGCGAAGGCGACUUUCUGGUCUGUAACUGACGCUGAUGUGCGAAAGCGUGGGGAUCAAACAGGAUUAGAUACCCUGGUAGUCCACGCCGUAAACGAUGAGUGCUAAGUGUUAGGGGGUUUCCGCCCCUUAGUGCUGCAGCUAACGCAUUAAGCACUCCGCCUGGGGAGUACGACCGCAAGGUUGAAACUCAAAGGAAUUGACGGGGACCCGCACAAGCGGUGGAGCAUGUGGUUUAAUUCGAAGCAACGCGAAGAACCUUACCAAAUCUU